rnacentral:rRNA from 1 species
CACGUAGGGCGCAAGCGUUGUCCGGAAUUAUUGGGCGUAAAGAGCUCGUAGGCGGUCCGUCACGUCCGCUGUGAAAACCCAGGGCUCAACCCUGGGCUUGCAGUGGAUACGGGCAGACUAGAGGUAGGUAGGGGAGAAUGGAAUUCCCGGUGUAGCGGUGAAAUGCGCAGAUAUCGGGAGGAACACCGGUGGCGAAGGCGGUUCUCUGGGCCUUACCUGACGCUGAGGCGCGAAAGCCAGGGGAGCAAACGGG